AAUAUAUGACGCAGUUAACUUUUUUUCAACGUUUGACCAUUCGUCUUAUUUAAAAAAUUUAUAUAAUUAUCAUUUAUUUUAUUGUGACUUGAUUCGUCAUCAAAUGUUCUUUAAGCAUGACAUAAAUAUUUUCAUAUUCACACAAAAAUUUUAAAUAAAACGAAUGAUCAAACGUUGGUCGAAAAGUCAACGGCGUCAUACAUU
rfam:Oryza glaberrima chromosome 7 Oglab07_0147_26, whole genome shotgun sequence.